rnacentral:rRNA from 1 species
GUGCCAGCCGCCGCGGUAAUACGGAGGGGGCUAGCGUUGUUCGGAAUUACUGGGCGUAAAGCGCACGUAGGCGGACUGGAAAGUCAGAGGUGAAAUCCCAGGGCUCAACCUUGGAACUGCCUUUGAAACUAUCAGUCUGGAGUUCGAGAGAGGUGAGUGGAAUUCCGAGUGUAGAGGUGAAAUUCGUAGAUAUUCGGAGGAACACCAGUGGCGAAGGCGGCUCACUGGCUCGAUACUGACGCUGAGGUGCGAAAGCGGGGGGAGCAAACAGGAUUAGAUACCCUGGUAGUCCACGCCGUAAACGAUGAAUGCCAGACGGCGGCAAGCAUGCUUGUCGGUGUCACACCUAACGGAUUAAGCAUUCCGCCUGGGGAGUACGGCCGCAAGGUUAAAACUUAAAUGAAUUGACGGGG